UACGAAGGGGGCUAGCGUUGCUCGGAAUCACUGGGCGUAAGGCGCACGUAGGCGGCUUGUUAAGUCAGGGGUGAAAUCCUGGAGCUCAACUCCAGAACUGCCUUUGAUACUGGCGAGCUUGAGUUCGGGAGAGGUGAGUGGAACUGCGAGUGUAGAGGUGAAAUUCGUAGAUAUUCGCAAGAACACCAGUGGCGAAGGCGGCUCACUGGCCCGAUACUGACGCUGAGACGCGAAAGCGUGGGGAGCAAACAGG
rnacentral:rRNA from 1 species